AGCCCAGCAUAUACCACCCUGCAACACACAACAGGUCCCAGGUUGUUCUGUGGUAUUCAGUGGACAGCACCUUCCUAUCUGUAGUGUGCCUCCUCCAAUGCUUCAGGCGUGCUCAGUCCAACAUCUACCAGUACCAUAUGCAGCGUUCCCACCUCUGAUUUCCAAUGACCCAUUCCUUUUGCAUCCUCCUCACCUCUCUCCACAUCAUCCUUCUCACCUGCCACCUCCAGGACAAUUUGUUCCUUUCCAAGCACAGCAGUCACGUUCACCACUUCAAAGGAUAGAGAAUGAAGUAGAACUACUUGGAGAACAUCUUCCUAUAGGAAGCUUUACCUACUCUCCAUCAACUCAUCCACCAACAUUGACUUCCUCAGCUUCUAUCCAACUCUUAACCCAUGAUCCUUUACAUCAAGAGAUUUCAUUU